UAGUGCGUAUAAUUGUCGGAUCUUUAUGUAAGUUAACAACAGAGGGCUGGCAGCCCACCUAAUAAAUAGAAGAGGGCUGACCGGCCGGCUUCCCCUUCCCCCCGCCGCGAUGACGACUCAGCGCGGCAACAUGCGCCGGCCGGGCGCUGACCUACCUGCCCCCCGCACCCCGUGCCGAGUCAGCACAACGAUAUCCGCUGGCCUGGCUCGGGAACGCUGACCGCUCACCGUGCAAGUGGAGCACGGUGAGAACUGCAAGGUCGGCAAAACUUCAGCCGGCCGCUGACACUGACGCCGACGUCGACGCCGGGACCGGACUCACGGGGCUCUGGCAGGUGUCGGCGCCGAAGACUGGGGCAGAGCCAAUUGGACCGGCGAAUCAACACGACUUGUCAGCUUAAGUUUAUUAAAUAAAGAAUAAUUAUAACGUAUACAAAAGGCCAAAGCUAUUGAUUGGGAGGAACUAUAACACAUACAAAGGCCAACGCUAUCGAUUGGGAAGAACGAGCUACGCUUGGGACUGCACAAGUACACCGGAAUGUCUAGAAUCUGCACUUUGUAAGUGACCGACUUAACACACGAAGAACAUAACUGGAACACAAAAUAUAAUUACACGAAUCACGGGUAAGUGAGGCUUUUUCAGCGAAUU